rnacentral:rRNA from 1 species
GACGGAGGCCCCGAGCGUUGUUCGGAAUUACUGGGCUUAAAGCGCGUGUAGGCGGAACGGUAAGUACUUUGUGAAAGCCCCGGCUUCAACCCGGGAAUUGCUUGGUAUACUGCCGUUCUUGAGGCAGGUAGGGGUCACUGGAACCUUAGGUGGAGCGGUGAAAUGCGUAGAUAUCUAAGGGAACGCCUGUGGCGAAAGCGGGUGACUGGGCCUGUCCUGACGCUGAGACGCGAAAGCGUAGGGAGCAAACGGGAUUAGAUACCCGGGUAGUCCCUGAGCGGGCUGGCAAGG